rnacentral:rRNA from 1 species
AUACGUAGGGGGCGAGCGUUGUCCGGAAUGAUUGGGCGUAAAGGGCGCGUAGGCGGCCCGGCAGUCUGGAGUGAAAGUCCUGUUUUUAAGAUGGGAAUUGCUUUGGAUACUGUCGGGCUUGAGUGCAGGAGAGGUAAGUGGAAUUCCCAGUGUAGCGGUGAAAUGCGUAGAGAUUGGGAGGAACACCAGUGGCGAAGGCGACUUACUGGACUGUAACUGACGCUGAGGCGCGAAAGUGUGGGGAGCAAACAGGAUUAGAUACCCUGGUAGUCCACACUGUAAACGAUGAAUGCUAGGUGUAGGGGGUAUCGACCCCUUCUGUGCCGCAGUCAACACAAUAAGCAUUCCGCCUGGGGAGUACGGCCGCAAGGUUGAAACUCAAAGGAAUUGACGGGG